rnacentral:lncRNA from 1 species
AUGAGCUGCUGCAAUCCAGGACGGAACAUCUACGAAAAUCUGGAGGUUUGCGAUAUGACUCGCUUGUAUAAACCGGACGACCAUACGAGAAUGCUGACGCACAAUCUGAUCAACCAAAAUUGCACGUGUGCUUUCAGCGAGGUCAAAUGCGAGUGCAGUCCAGACGCCAUGGCAAAGUUCGGACUUCACAACAAUGGUAAACGGUCGAAGUCACCUUUGACAACGGUGAACAAUAAAACCAACGGUGUGUAUGUCUUCGUGCCUCUCCCCGAGAAUUCAAACGACCCCGUUGAAAUGAGCAAACACUUGCAAAACAUUUACAAUAAUAUAAUACCCAUGAGUGAGAAACAAGAUCAGAAGAACUGCGAAAAUAAAGCAUCGGCCAAGAGAUCCCAGGACUUAUCGAAAAGCGAGUCGUCGAAAGGAGCUGGUGAAGCUGGGCAAGAUAAAACGAAGAGUGAGAAGGAUACUGAGACGGACAGAGCAAAGUUGCUUGAUAAGCUUUUGGACGAAUACAACUUGACCCAACUCAAACAACUGCUUGAGAAGAAGGCUGCUGCCCAGAACGACGACAUUGUGGAGGACUUGAAGAGGCUGAAGCAGCAGAACAUGGGACGACGUCAUUCAGAUGUGAACUUGAAUUUAGAUCAACCGGUUAGAUCACCGUUGAGGACUAGGAAGUGUCCGUCGGAGAGUUCCUUCAUCAUGAAGAACAACCUGAAACCUUGGUCUCAGAACGAGCAUGAUAAGUAUAGUUCCUACAACGACUCGCGGUUUGGUGGAAUGCCCGAGUACGCAACACCCUUCCAACAGCAUCAGUCCAUGUUCCCCGAGCCGCCUUUGAACACUACCAAAGCAUCAACCUCCCUUUCACGGAAUUCGUAUCGGACAUGUCGAAAUACCGAGCCGCUCCCCAUGGAACGGGCCAGGCGAUGUUCUACACCCGGACGAAAUCCCCCAAGUCCUACCACGGCACCCCGCAACCUCCCCCCGUCGACCCGAACAUCAAGCCCGGACAACCACUCCCCAGCUCCAUCAUCGACCCGUCGAUCCCGUUCCAAGCCAAACGUCGGGAGGCCGAACCUCGGGAGGAGUCCCCGCUCUACGGUCGUCCCAAGUCACCCUCACAGACUUUCAACUACGGGUUGGACAUGGCCACGAAGAGACACCACCAACAGCUCAUCAACCACGCUCAUCAUCAGGUGCACCCUAAGGCCUCGUUCGACCCGCUCUCGUCUUGUUACCCGUCCGGCGAACCAUCCUACAUGCCGUCACAUACGCAUGGACUUUACAUAUCCUAGAGUCCCUCGACGACUACUUACCACCAAGUCCACGUUCACCCCGAUUUGA